GCACCUGCUUGGGUGACAGAUGGCAUGAAAUCGGAGAGAUGACAGCCUGGGGAGGUAAGCCAUUAGGGGUGGGGUGAGAGGAGACGGUGGAGAGAGCUCAAGCAGGAGGACCAUAGGGUGGAAAAGAGGAAGGGACCGGGCGCCCGGGUGGCUCAGUCGGUUGCUUAUCCAACUUGGGCUCAGGUCACGAUCUCACAGCUCGUGGGUACGAGCCCCGUGUCGUGCUCUGUGCUGACAGCUCAGAGCCUGGAGCCUGCUUCGGAUUCUGUGUCUCCCUCUCUCUCUGCCCCUCGCUUGCUCGUGGUCUCUCUGUCACAUAAAUAAACAACAGGGGCGCCUGGGUGGCUCAGUCGGUUGAGCAACCGACUUCAGCUCAGGUCACGAUCUCAGGGUUUGUGAGUUCGAGCCCCGCAUCGGGCUCUGUGCUGACGGCUCAGAGCCUGGAACCUGCUUCCGAUUCUGUGUCUCCCUCUCUCUCUGACCCUCCCCCACUCAUGCUCUGUCUCUGUCUCAGAAAUAAAUAAACAUUAAACAAAAUUUUUUUAAAUAAAAAAAAAUUUUUUAAGAAAAGAGGGAGUCGGAAAAGGGAGGAAAGACACGUCGAAAGGCUGCCUGCUGUAAUAGAAGAGUGUUGCAAUUAGACCAGGGUUCAGGUCUCAGCUGCUGACAGGCUCUGUGAUCUUGGACAAGUUACCAUCCCUGUUCCCUCCUAUUCGGUGGGAGAGAAGUCUUUUUGGUGAUUGUCGUGAGCCUUCAAUAGGUGAAGGAAUGUGUGGACGGGGCACCCGGGAGGCUCUGUGAGUUAAGUGUCCGACUUCGGCUCAGGUCAUGAUCUCGUGGUUCACGAGUUCAAGCCCCGCAUCGGGCUCUGUGCCGGCUGCUCUGGAUUCUGUGUCUCCCUCUCUCUCUGCCCCUCUCCUGCUCACUCUCUGUCUCUCUCUCUCUCAAAAUAAAGUAAAAUAAAAUAAAAAACAUUAAAAAAAUAAAUAGUAAAAAUAAAGGAAUGUGUGCAACGUCCAAGUUGGUGCGUGAUCAUCAAAUGGUAGCCGUGAGUGGACACCUGUUUGGGAAUCGCCAAGGGCCGUGCCAAGGUCACUGAGUCACAGCACAUAGAGGUCAUCACAACGCAGAGGAGUGACAAGUGCAAUAAAAAGAAGGCUGAGGGAGGGACUGAGGAGCCUCCGUCUGGGAUUCAGAGGGCUGAAGGAAUUCUCAGCUGAGGGGACAGCGUGUGCAAGGGGAGGCCACGGCACCGUGCUCGUGUAACGGCAAGUUGGCUGGAACACGAUAUCGAUAGUGAGCCCGGAGGAGAGAGAGAGACGGGAGGUGCCGCGGGAAAGGUCAGCUGGGGUCAGGUGGCUUGGCAGGCCGUUUGAACUUUACUCCGCAUGACUGGGAAGCCAACAAAGGUUUUAAAACAGAGCAGUGACUGCAUCGGGACGGGCAUCUGAGGAAGAUGAUACCAGCAUCUGCCGAGCGGUCCCGGUGUUCCGGGCCCUAUGGCCCGGCAGUGUAUUCACGGCUCUGCAUUCACAUUUCGGCUCUGCAUUCCCGCGACGCGUAGGACCUAUAUCAUCGCCACUGGGUGGUAAAGGCUUAGGGAAGCAGACUGCUUUUGAAAGGAAUUGGACCAACUCAUUCGAAAAAAUCGUAGGGUAAAGUGCCAAGGACGCCUAACGAUAAUUGUGAAAAACAAGGGAGAAUACCGGGCUACGAGGAAGUCCUGUGUUCUGUCUGUAGUAAGACUUAAUAUCGGGGGUGGGGGGGCGCCCGCCCGGCUCAGCCUGUAGAGCACGCGACUCUUGAUCCCCGGGCCGUGAGUUCGAGCCCCACGUUGAGGGUAAAGAUGACUUAAAUAACAAACCUUAAAAAAAGGGAAUCAGAUACCAUUAAAAAAAAGAUUUCGGGGGUGCCUGGGUGACUCAGUCGGUCGCGCGUCCAACUUCAGCUCAGGUCAUGAUCUCGCAGUUCCCAAGUUCAAGCCCCGCAUCGGGCUCUGUGCUGACAGCUCAGAGCCUGGAGCCUGCUUCAGAUUCUGUGUCUCCCUCUCUCUCUGCCCCUCCCCCACUCAUGUUUUGCCCCCUCUCUCUCCCCCUUCCUCUCUCUCUCUCUCUCUUAAAAAUAAAUAUGUAUUAAAAAAAAUAGAAAAAAAAGAUUUCCUAUAGGGGCAACCUGAGAGGCUUAGUUAAGUGUCCAACUCUUGAUUUUGUCUCAGGUCAUGAUCUCAUGGUUUGGGAGAUCAAGCCCCGCAUCAGGCUUUGCACGGACAUCGAGGAACCUGCUUGGGAUUCUCUCUCUCUCACUCCCUGUCUCUCUCUGUCUCUCUCUCCUUCUCUCUCCUUCCCCCACUUGUUCUCUCUGUCUCAAAAUAAAUAAACUUUAAAGAAAAGAAAAUUUCAUAUAAAGAUAUAGUAACUAAAACAAUGGGAUAGAGAAAUAAACGAGACAAUAGAACAGAACAGGGGACCGAGAAACAGACCCAUGCAAGUUGGUAAUAUGUAAAGAGCCAGAGGCAACAUGCACCUGAGUGGGGAAAGACCGGGUUCUUCAGCAAAUGGUGUUGGAAGAGCUGACUGGCCAAAUGGAAAAAAAUAGAUUUAGCUCCUUACAACAUACAUGAAAAUAAGUUCACAAAUGUGUAAAAUGAAUACCUCUUAGAAUAAAAAUAGAAGUUCAGUAAUAUAUCUGGAGCCACCCAGGUAAUAAAUGGAGACACUGUAUCUCGUCAAGCCUGAGGGGUCUGGUGCCAGAUCCUGCCCUCUUAACCCACUCAGUAGGUGCUCUGUCCCGGUCCCUUCAGAGUGUUAGACGGACCAGUGCAAACAGACACUGAAGGCAGGGCGGUGGCGAUUGGAGGCUGGAUUGGCAGCCGGUCCCCACAUACCUUACGUGAAGGAUCGCUGGGGAGGCAGAGGGAGGGACUGUCGCCGUAUCACCGUCACUCAGUCGACAGAUUGGGCACCGAUGAUGUCCCACCCCCUGCCCGGUGUCCGUGUGAGAGAUACCAUCACAAGCUCAACAAACGUUUACCGAGGGUGGUCGUGUUACCGGGUGGGUGUGAGAAGGAUAAAAAUAAGGCAAUGGCAGUGAAUUGUUGCAUGGUAGGGCUGGGAGGAUUUGGGAGAUCAACUGUCCAGUCCUCUCGUUUUACAGAUUGGGAAAUAGGCACGGUGAGAAGGGACUUUUCUCUUUUUUCACAGUAUUCUUGUUUGGAACCCUGAGCAAAGAACACAGCUCCCUGGCCGUGUUGUAAAUAACCAGCUCCUCUGUCUUUCUUGGCGUGAAAUUAUCUUUUUAGUUUUUUAAGUUUAUUUAUUUUGACAGAAAGAGUGUGUGUGAGUGGAGGAGGGGCAGAAAGAGAGGGAGAGAGAGAAUCGCAAGCAGGAUCCCUGUUGAGAGCGUGGACCCUGAGGUGGGGCUCGAUCCCACAAACUGUGAGAUCAUGACCUGAGCCAAAAUCAAGAGUCGAACACUGGGGCGCCUGGGUGGCUCAGUCGGUUAAGCGGCCGACUUCGGCUCAGGUCAUGAUAUCGCGGUUUGUGAGUUCGAGCCCCUGAUCAGGCUCUGUGCUGACAGCUUAGAGCCUGGAGCCUGCUUCGGAUUCUGUGCCUCCCUUUCUCUCUGCCGUGCCCCCCCGCCCUUGCCUCGUUCUCUGUCUCUCAAAAAUAAAUAAAUGUUAAAAAAAAUUAAAAAAAAAAAAAGAGUCAAACACUUAACUGACUGAGCCACCCAGGCGCCCUGAAAUUAACUUUUUUUUUUUUAACUGGUUAUCCUGCUCUGGCCACCAAACACUGUCCAGCCAGUGCCAGGCAGGUCUAACCCUGUUUAUCACUUCAUUACUCAUUCAACCAUUUUUUUAAUGUUUUUAUUUAUUUUUGAGACAGAGAGAGACAGAGCACGAGCGGGGGAGGGGCAGAGAGAGAAGGAGACACAGAAUCCGAAGCAGGCUCCAGGCUCUGAGCGGUCAGCACAGAGCCCGACGCGGGGCUCGAACUCACGGACCGCGAGAUCAUGACCUGAGCCGAAGUCGGACGCUCAACCGACUGAGCCACCCAGGCGCCCCACAUUCAACCAUUAUUUACUUCCAUCUUUUUUGUCCCCAUGUUCUUCCCUGCAGCCUUCCUAUAGAAUUCCUAUAGAAUUCAUUCCUAUCCCUCCCUAUGCAAGAGCUGAGCCUGCCCAGAGAAAACCAUAUACUGUGGGGUCACCAUGGGUUCAUGCCUCCCCUCCACGGACCCUCCGGUGCCACCCAUCAGUGGCCAGCGACUGCCACAUUGACAAGUCCAAAGGUCACUUUUCUUCUCAUCUGACUUCACGGACCCCUCCCUUCUCCCACUGAUGUCUUCAGCAAUACUUCUGAUUCUCCUCCCACCCAUAGCUUUCAGAGUAAAGUUCCAACUCCUUAGAUUAGCAUUCAAUAUCUUUUGUGAUUUGGCCCCUGCCCACCUCUGCAGGCUCUUUUCCUGCCACUGACCUUGCCCUUCUUUACCCCUGGCCCCAAAGAACUUUCUGCUGUGCCCUUCUUCGGGAAAGAUCUCUGCGAUUCUCUCCCGUAGGUGGGGUUGUGGAAUUCGGCAUGUGCCUUCAUUCCGAAGGCACCUUCUCAGGCAGGGAGAGUAUCUCUCUGUUCUCGGUAUCUGGCUGAGUGCUUCAGAGCAGGUACCUAGGAAAUGGAGGUUGGAGGAAGCUAAGAGCCAAAUGGCAUUGUGGGAACGUCCACAGCACAAGGAAAUGUAUGCCUGAUGUCACCCUCUUCUCUAGACAACACCACCAGCCGUACACACGCCCCUUCACUUUUCCCCAAACUUGGAAAGAAGCCAGUGGCCGCCUGACCUCAGGGAUCUGGGGGGGGGAGGGGAGUGGGGAGGGAGAUGUUUGGACAGGGGGAGGAGAGCACCACAGUAGUCUCUUCCCUUUGGGAUAAGGGUGAUGCUCAACCAGCGUAGCACCCACCGAGUCCCCCUCCCCCGCUUUCUCUUCCUGCCUUGAGUUUGUGGGUUGGAGGGGAAGAGGGGGAAGGUGCUUCUUCAGGGGGGAGGAAAACCCCAGUUCCUAUUCCCCUGAUCUCUCAGCCCAGGAUCCUGAGACCCUCAGGGCGGAACCUAAUGGAAGGCUGGUCACUUCCUGUGGGGCCUGUGCCUGCGACCAGCCACGGAGGCCAAGUUGGGAUUGAGACCUGGGAAGGGCAGGGCAGUUAUGGAUAUUGGCAGAUCGAGGGGCGGAGUUCAGGGUAAUUUGUGUGACUGGUGGGGAACUUGAUUUGAGAAAGUUGAGCGGACCCACCUGUAUAACAGCUAAUAUUAUCUGACCAGCGCUUUCCAGUUUACAAAGUACUCUCCCAUCAGUUCAAACAAUUCCUUGGACACCUACUGCCGACACAGGGCCAGGGGCCAGGGCCUUGACCCGCACUUAUACCCUGAGAGGCGGGUGCUUUGAUCCCCACCUCAUUGUUGAGGGAGCUGAAUGAAGCCUGGAGGAAGAGUGAAGGACAGGAGGAAAAAUAGGUCGGGUGUGGGUCAAGUUCAGAAGGUGAAGGAAAGCCAGAGGGAAGCAAGUCGGGCCUCUGGUGGUGACAGGGGCUGGCCAGUAAAAAGGUGCCUCCAGCCGCCCCUUCCUUCUGCUGCAUUUUAAGACCCACUUAGUCCCUCCUCACUCUUUCAGGAUGUGCAGGCCCGGCCUGGGGGCACCUGAUGGCCUCCAUCGCUAGCCUUGGACCUGCUGGGCUUUGGAAAGCGGGUGAGCCUCCUUCCUGAUAGUUGCAGACAAACCCCCCGGGCCUCUGCUAUNNNNNNNNNNNNNNNNNNNNNNNNNNNNNNNNNNNNNNNNNNNNNNNNNNNNNNNNNNNNNNNNNNNNNNNNNNNNNNNNNNNNNNNNNNNNNNNNNNNNNNNNNNNNNNNNNNNNNNNNNNNNNNNNNNNNNNNNNNNNNNNNNNNNNNNNNNNNNNNNNNNNNNNNNNNNNNNNNNNNNNNNNNNNNNNNNNNNNNNNNNNNNNNNNNNNNNNNNNNNNNNNNNNNNNNNNNNNNNNNNNNNNNNNNNNNNNNNNNNNNNNNNNNNNNNNNNNNNNNNNNNNNNNNNNNNNNNNNNNNNNNNNNNNNNNNNNNNNNNNNNNNNNNNNNNNNNNNNNNNNNNNNNNNNNNNNNNNNNNNNNNNNNNNNCCCCCCUGCUCCCCCUGCCUGGGGGAGACCCACGGGCUUCUGAAACAGAGGAGCAGCUGAGUAAAGGCACAGAGAAGGUGCGAAAAAACAGAGGGACUUCGGGCAGAACGCCAAGUAACCUAGCAAAACAAAAGUGAGCCGGUGUGAGAAAAAGCCUAGAAGGAAGCACCCUCUGAAGUUGGGGUUAUUGAGUACAUUUUUUCUGUGUUAUGUUGCACAUCCUCCAGCUCUUGCUGGUAAUCUGUUUUUGCGGUGAGAAAGGAAAUCAUCCCUUACCCUUAAAGGAGCAUUUUAUUUUACCUGAUGUUUAGUCCUUGUAUGUUAUUCCUGCCAACCAGCCGAUCAUCUUAUUUAUGAGGUGAUUAGCAUUUUGGAGGCAGGGACUCUGAGACUCCAUCGUGGUGAAUGACGGACUUGAAGGCACAAUAGCAGCCUGUGGUCUGUUCUGGAGACUGUUCUGCGUGUCCCCGAGAACAGUGCCUAUUCUGUUGUCGGGAGGAGUGUCCCGUAGUCUUUUAGGUCCAGUUGGUUUCUAGUGUUUUCCAAGUACUCUAUUUCCUUACUGAUCUUCUGUAUAGGAUAUUCUGUCCAUCAUUUGUUUUAAUGUUUAUUUAUUUAUGAGAGAGUGCAAGCGGGGGAGGGGCAGAGAGAGGGGGACAGAAGAUCCGAGGAGGGCUCUGCGCUGACAGGCUGACAGCGGGCAAGCCCGAUGUGGGGCUCGAACCCACUCACUGAGAGAUCAUGACCUGAGCCGGAGUUGGAUGCUCUACUGAGCCACCCAGGUGCCCCUGUCCAUUGUUCUUUUUUUUUAAUUUUUUAUGUUUGUUUAUUUUUGAGAGCGAGAGAGAGCACGAGUGGGGGAGGGGCAGAGAGAGAGGGAGACACAGAAUCCAAAGCAGGCUCCAGGUUCCGAGCUGUCAGCAGGGCUCGAACUCACGGUGUGCGAGAUCAUGACCUGAGCCAAAGUCAGCUGCUUAACCAACUGAGCCACCCAGGUGCUGUCCAUUAUUGAAAGUAGGUGCCUGGGUGGCUCAGUCGUUUGAGUUGAUUUCAGCCCAGGUCAUGAUCUCACGGUUCAUGGGUUGGAGCCACCCCGACCCCCGUCAGGCUCUGGCUGACAGGGCAGAGCCUGCUUGGGAUUCUCUCUCGCUCCUUCUCUCUCUGCCCCUCCCCGACUUGCGCUUUCUCUCUCUCUCAAAGCAAAUAAACUUUAAAAAAUAAUAAAAAAGAAAGUAGGGCACUGAAGUCUCCAACUAUUAUUGUAGACGUGUCUAUUUCUCCCUUCACUUCUGUCAUUGUUUGCUUCAUAUAUUUUGAGAUUCUGUUGUUUGGGACAUAUAGAAUUGUUACAGCUUCUUCACGAAUUGACACUUAAAUCAAUAUAUAGUGUCCUCCUUUGUCGCUUGUAACAGUUUUUUAUUUCAAAUCUAUUUGGUCUAGAAUUAGCAUAGCCACCCUGGCUGUCUUUUGGGUGGCUCUUUGCACAGAAUAUGUUUUUCCAUCCCUUUGCUUACAACGUAUUUGUGCCUUUGGGUCUAAAGUGAGUCUCCUGGGGGCGCCUGGGUGGCUCAGUCGGUUGAGCGGCCGACUUCGGCUCAGGUCACGAUCUCGCGGUCCGUGAGUUCGAGUCCCGCGUCGGGCUCUGGGCCGACGGCUCGGAGCCUGGGGCCCGCUUCCGAUUCUGUGUCUCCCUCUCUCUCUCUGGCCCUUUGCCUCUCGAGCUCUGCCUCUGUCUCUGUCUCUCUCAAAAAUAAAUAAACAUUAAAAUAAAUAAAUAAAGUGAGUCUCCUGCAACCAGCAUAUACUUGGAUAUAAAAUAUAUAUAUAUUUUUGGCCAUCUUAAAGUUUACAGUUCAGGGGCAGUAAGUACAUUCCUGUGCAACCAUCACCGCCAUCCGUCUCCAGAACUUUUCUCAUAUCCCCACACUGAAACUCCAUACCCAUUAAAUAAUAAUUCUCCAUCUCCCCCUACCCCACCAGCCCCUGGCAACCACCAUUCUACUUUCUGUCUCUGUCCAUUUGAUUACUAGUGUAUGUAAAGUCCUAGGUACCUCGUCCAAGUGAAAUCAUAAGCAUCUGUCCUUUCGUGUCUGUUUUUCUCUCCCCCUUAGCGUAAUGUCAUCAAGGUUCAGACAUGUUGUAGGCGUGUCAAAAUGUCAUUCUUUUUUAAGGAUGAAUAAUAUUCAAUAUGCCGUUGUAUACAUAUAUAUGCCUUAGUUUUUUUUUUGUUUUUUUUUUUUUUUGUCUUUUAACGUUUAGUUAUUUUUGAGACAGGGAGAGACAGAGCAUGAACUGGGGAAGGUCAGAGAGAGGGAGACACAGAAUCUGAAACGGGCUCCAGGCUCCGAGCUGUCAGCAGAGAGCCCGACGCGGGGCUCGAACUCACGGAGCGCGAGAUCAUGACCUGAGCCGAAGUCGGCCGCUUAACCGACUGAGCCACCCAGGCGCCCCUAUGCCUUAGUUUUUGUAUCCAUUUACCUGUCAGUGGGUGCUCGGGUUGCUUCCAGCUUUUGCCUGCUGUGAAUAAUGGUGCUGUGAGCAUGAAUGUACAAAUACCUGGCUUUCAACUCUUUCGGGUAUAUAUUCGAGCAGAAUUGCUGGAUUGUAUGGUGAUUCUAUUUUUAAUUUUUUGACGAACCGCGAUACAUACUGAUGUCUAUAGCGAUGAUACAUUUUAUAUUCCCAGCAGCAGUACACAAGAGUUCCAAUUUCUCCACCUUCCCACCAACAUUUGUCUAUUUGAUGUUUUGUGUUGUUAUGUUACAUUUUAAGUAAUGGCCAUCCUAAUGUGUACGAAGUUUUGACUUGCGGUUUUGGCUUGCAUUUCCCUAAUUAGUGAUGUUGAACAUCUUUUCAUGUACUUAUCGGCCAUCUGUUAUCCUCUUUAGAGAAAUGGCCAUUCAAGUCCUUUGUAUUUUUUUAUUUAUUUUCAGUUAGAUCAUUUUUUAUUUUAUUAUUUAUUUAUUUAUUUGUUGUUGUUGUUGUUGUUGUUUUUUAAGUAGGCUCUACACCCAUUGUGGGCCUUGAACUCAUGAUUCUGAGAGCAAGAGUCUCAUGUUCUACUGACUGGGCCAGCCAGGCACCCUGGUUAGAUCAUUUUAAAAUCCAUCCUGGGGGUGCCUGGGUGGCUCAGUUGGUUGAGUCUCUGACUCUUGAUUUCAGCUCAUCCCAGGGUGAAAUCCCAGGGUCGUGGGAUUGAUCCCAGGGUCGUGGGAUUGAGCCCUGCGGGCUCCACACUGAGCGUGGAGCCUGCCUAAGAUUCUCUCUCUUCUGCCAUUCUCUCCCCAUUCGUGCUCUCUCUCUCUCAAAAAAAAAAAAAAGUUAAAAAAAUCCAUUCAGCCAAUCUGUCUUCUUAUGUGUGUAGUAAAAUAUACAUAAAACUCACCAUUAAGUAUAUACUUCAGUGGCAUUAAGUACAUUUAUAAUGUAUAAUCAUCACCAAUCUCUGUCUUUUAAUUGGUGAACUUAAUCCGUUUAGAUUUAAAGUGAGUAGUGGGGUACCUGACUAGCUCAGUGGGUAGAGAUUGUGACUCUUGAUCUCCAGGUCAUGAGUUUGAGCCCCAUGUUGGGCAUAAAGCUUACUUAAAAAAAUGAAUAAAUAAAAUAAGUGAUUACUGAUAUUGAAGGACUUACUUUUGUGAUAGUGUUCUUUUCUAUAUGUCCUCUUCUUUUGUUCCCCAGUCCUUCCAAUACUGUGUUCUUUUGUGUUUGAUUUUUUUCUAGUGUACCAUUUUGAUUUCCUCUUCACUUCCUUUUCUGUAUAUUUCCUACUUGUUUUCUUAGUGGUUACCAUGGGGAUUACAGCUAAUAUCCUAAGAUUAGUAGCUAAUUUAUCAUCAGACACCAUGAAGGCCUAAAACCAGUAGGAUGAUAUAUUUAAAGUAGUGAUAGACAGGUGCCUGGGUAGCUCGGUCGGUUAAGCAUCCAACUCUUGAUCUCAGCUCAGGUCUUAAUCUCAGGGGUCGUAAGUUCAAGCCCCACAUUGGGCUCUGCACAGGGCAUGAAGCCUACUUAAAAACAAGUGAAGGAAGGAAGGAAGGAAGGAAGGAAGGGGAAGGGAGGAAAGGGAAGGAAGGAAGGAAGGAAGGAAGGAAGGAAGGAAGGAAGGAGAAGGGAGGGAGGGAGGGAGGGAGGGAGGAAGGGAGGAAGGUAGGUAUUGAUAGGGUGUUCCCUAUGGUGGCACAUAUACUAAAAUUGGAAUGAUACACAGGAGAUUAGUGUCACCCCUGGCCAAGGAUAACAUUCAUGAAGCAUUCCAUAUGUUGAAAGUUAUGCUUACAAAAAAAUAAAUAAAAUAAAGUACUGACAGUAUUCUCGUAUUUUUGGUAUGUAACUCCUCUUUUGUGUUUCUUAUAUGAUUUAAAAGGCAGAUGCAUAAAACAAUAAUUAUAAAUCUAUGUUAACAUGUACAUAAUGUAUACAGACGUAUUUGUACCAAUAACAUAAAGGGGGUAUGGAAUUGACUAGGAGGAAUUAAUGUAUGUUAUUGAAGCUAAGAUGUUCUCAGUUCAGUCUAGAUUGUUGUAAAUUUAUCUAUUUCUUCUUAAGUGCACUUAGGUAAUUUGUGUCUUUCCGUGUAUCCUCCAUUUCGACUAAGUUGUUGGAUUUAUUGGCAUAAAGUUGUCCCUAAUGGCCCCUCAUUAGUCUUUUAUUAUCUGUAAAAUCUGUUGUGAUGUUACUCUCUCAUUCCUGAUAUUAAUGAUUUGUAUUUUUUCCCGACCAUUCUGGAUGGAGGUUUAUCUGUUUUGUUGAUCUGAAGCAGCAUUUAGUUUCAUUUAUUUUUCUCUAUUUUUCUGUUUUCUAUUUCAUAGAUUUCUGCAUUGAACUUUUGUUUUCUUCUGCAUACUUUGGUUUCAGGUGGAAGCUGAGGUCAUUGACAUGAGAUCUUUCUUCCUUCUUCCUCCCUCCCUCCCUCCCUCCCUUCCUUCCUUCCUUUUUUUAAAAAAGGAUUUUUAGGGGGGUGCAUGGGUGGCUCAGGUGGUUGAGCAUCUGACUUCAGCUCAGAUCAUGAUCUCACAGCUCGUAGGUUUGAGCACCACAUUGGGCUCUGUGUUGACAGCUUGGAGCCUCGAGCCUGCUUUGGAUUCUGUGUGUGUCUCUCUCUGCCCCUCCCCCACUUGUGCUCCGUCUCUCUCUCUCAAAAAAAAAUAAACAUUAAAAAGUUUUUUUGUGGGGCGCCUGGGUGGCUCAGUCGGUUGGGCGUCCGACUUUGGCUCAGGUCAUGAUCUCGCGGUCCGUGAGUUCGAGCCCCGCGUCGGGCUCUGUGCUGACAGCUCAGAGCCUGGAGCCUGUUUCCGAUUCUGUGUCUCCCUCUUUCUCUGACCCUCCCCCAUUCAUGCUCUGUCUCUCUCUGUCUCAAAAAUAAAAUAAAAACGUUAAAAAAAAAUUUUUAAAAAAAAAAAGUUUUUUUGUAAGAAAAGACUUUUUUGGGGGGGCUCCUGGGUGGCUCAGUCAGUUAAGCAUCUGACUUCGACUCAGGUCAUGAUCUCGGGGUCCAUGAGUUCAAGCCCCAAGUUGGGCUCUGUGCUGACAGCUCAGAGCCUGGAGCCUGCUUCGGAUUCUGUGUCUCCCUCUCUCUCUCUGCCCCUCCCCUGCUUGGGCACUCUCUCUCUCUCUCUCUCUCUCUCUAAGUAAAUAAAUGAGUCAGAUGUUCCUUAAAAAAAGGCAUUUAGUCAAGGUGCCUGGGUGGCUCAGCUGGUUAAGCGUCUGACUCUCGGUUUUGGCCCAGGUCGUGAUCUCAUGGCUUCAUGGGUUCUAGCCCUGAGUGAGGCUCUGCGCUGGCAGCAUGGAGCCUGCUUGGAAUUCUCUCUCUCCCUCUCCACCCCUCCCCCACUCACACUACAUCUGUCUCUCUCAAAAUAAAGAAACAAACAAAGGCAUUUAGUGCCAUAAAUUUCGGUAAUGGAGGUGCCCCGCAAAUUCUGUGUUGUGUUUUCAUUUUCACUCAGUUCAAAAUACUUCCUAUUAUUAAAAAAAUUUUUUUUUAAUUUUAUUUUUAAGUAAUCUCUACACCCAACAUGGGGCUCGAAUUUACAAUCCUGGGAUCAAGAGUCGCAUGCUCUCCCAACUGAGCCAGCCAGGUGCCACUCUAAUUCUUUUUUUUGUUUAAAUGUUUAUUAAUUUAUUUUGAGAGGUGGGGGGAGAGAGAGAAUUUCAAGCAGGCUCCACACCAUCAGCCCAGAGCCCAACAUGGGCCUCAGUAUCACAAACUGUGAGAUCAUGACCUGAGCCAAAAUCAAGAGUCAGACACUUGGCUGUCUGAGCCACCCAGGCACCCCCUAAUUAUUUUUUGAUCCAGAGGUGUGUUACUCAUUUUCCAAGCAUUUGGGGAUUUUCCAAGUAUCUUUCUGUUAUUGGUUUCUUUUCUUUUCUUUUUUUAGAGAGAGAGACAGCAUGCGCCCAUGGGAGCAGGGGAGAGAAGCAGAGAGAGAAAGAGAGAGAAACUUUUUUUUUUUAAUGUUUAUUUAUUUUGAGGGAGAGAGAGAGAUAGAGCUCGGAUGGGGGAGGGGCAGAGAGAGAGGGAGACAGAGAAUCCCAAGCAGGCUCUGCACGGGGGCUUGAACCCACAACCCCUGAGAUUGUGACCUGAACCGAAAUCAAGAGUCGGAUGCUUUACUGAACCGAGCCACCCAGGUGCCCCGAGAGGGAGAGAGAAUCUAAGCAGGCUCCAUACUCAGCGCAGAUCCCAAUGAGGGACUCGAUCCCACGACCCUGGGAUCAUGUCCUGAACUGAAACUGAGCAGGGUACUCAACCGACUGUCACCCAGGCGCCCUGUUAUUGGUUUCUAAUAUAAUUCCGCUGUGAUCAGAGAACAUACUUUGUAUGACUUGAAUCCUUUUGAAUGUUCUAUGUCAAGUUGGUUGAUAGUGUUAUUCAAAUCUACUAUAUCCUAGCUCAGUAUUUGUCUACUUGCUUUAUCAAUUACUAAGAGAGUGGUACUGAAAUCUCUGACUCUAAUUGUGAUCAUUUUUCUUGUAAUUAGUAAUCAGUUGUAAUCAGUUUUGGCUUCAUAUCAUUUGAAGCUCUCUUACAGGACACAUGAACAUUAGCAUUGUUAUGUCCUCAAUUAAUUGACCCCUUUGUCAUUAUGAACUGAACUUCUUUAUCCCUGGUAAUAUUCUCUGCUUUGAAAUCAACUUUGUAUUAUAUUAUUGUAGCCCUCCCAGCGUUCUUUUGACUGCAUAAGCAUGGUGUAUUUUUUUUCCAUCUUUUUGCUUUUACCCUAUUUGAGUCUUUAUAUUCAAAGUACAUUUGUUGUGGGCAGCAUAUAAUUGGGUCUUGCUUUCUUAUCCACUGUAACGAUCCCUGCCUUUUAAUUUGGUUGUUUAAACAAUUUACCUUUAAUGUGAUGACUGAUACAUAGUUGACUCUUGAACAGCAUAAGUUAGAACUGGGAAGGUCCACUUAUGCACAGAUUUUUAAAAAUAAAUAUAGUACAGUACUGUAUUUUCUCUUCCUUAUGAUUUUCUUAUGAUUUUCUUUAUUCUAUUUAUGUCAUUCUAAGAAUACAGUAUAGGGGUGCCUGGCUGGCUUAGUCAGUAGAGACUCUUGAUCUCGGGGUGGUGAGUUUGAGCCCCAUAUUGUGCAUAGAGAUUACUUUAAAAAAAGAAUACAGCAUAAAAUCCACACGACAUACAAAAUAUGUUUCAUCAACUGUUUAUGUUAUCGGUAGGGCUUUUGGUUAACAGCAGGCUAUUUGUAGUUCAGUUUUGGGGGAGUCAAAAGUUCUACACAGAUAUUUGGUUUGCUCCUAAUCCCCAUGCUGUUCAAAGGUCAAGGGUAGUUAGGUUUCAGUUUAUCAUCCUAUUUGUUUCCUAGUUGUCUCAUCUGUUCUUUGCUCCCUUUUUCCUCUUUUUCUGCUUUCUUUAAAUUAUUUUUAUUCCAUCUUUUUUCUUUUGUUGCUUUAUUAGUUAUAACUCUGUUAUUUUACUAGUUGCUUUAGGGUUUAUACUAUACAUCUUUCACUCACGACAAUCCACUUAAAAAAUUUUUUUAAUGUUUUUUUGGGAGAGAGAGAGUGAGUGAGCAGGGGAGGAGCAGAGAGAGAGGGAGACACAGAACCCGAAGCAGGCUCCAGGCUCUGAGCUGUCAGCACAGAGCCCAACGUGGGGCUGGAAGUCACCAACCGUGAGAUCAUGACAUGAGCCAAAGUCGGACGCUUAACUGAGUCACCCAGGCGCCCCUCCGCAGUCCACUUUUAAGUGAUAUGACACAACCUCAUGUAUAUCUGAAUCUUACUAUAUUUCCAUUUCUUGUCCAACCUUUGUGCUAUUAACAUAAUACAUUUUGUAUCAUAUCUGACUCCAUAAUACAUUUCACUUUUACAUAUGUUAACUUGAAUCCUUGUAAAUUUGAGAUUUGUUUAUGGCCCAGAAUGUGGUCUAUCUCAGUAGAUAUUCUCAGUGCACAAACCCCACAAUACAUUAUCAUUUUUUAUUUUUUAACACAAUUCUCUUUUUAAAAGAUGUAAGUAAUAAGAAAAAAAUGAUAUACUUACUCAUGUAGUUAUCACCAGAGUUCUUCAUUCCUUUGGGUCGGUCCAUAUUUUUAUUUGGUAUCAUUUUCUUUUUGCCUGAAGAACUUCCCUUAACAAAUUUUGUAGUGCAGGUCUGCUAGUGAUGAAUUCUUUCAGUUCUUAUAUAUCUGAAGAUGUCUUUAUUUCCCCUUUAUUUUGUAACCUUUAUUUGAGAGUGGGGAGGGGCAGAGAGAGAGAGAGAGGGAGAGAGGGAGAAUCCCAAGCAAGCUCUGUGUUGUCAGUGCAGAGCCCGAUGUGGGGCUCAAACUCACGAAAGACGAGAUCAUGACCUGAGCCAAAAUCAAGUCGGGCACUUACUCAACUGAGCCAGGUGCCCCUCACUUUUGUUUUUGAAAGAUAUUUUUUAUUUUAAUUCCAGUAUAGUUAACAUAGAAUAUGUUAGUUUCAGGAGUACAAGAUAGUGAUUCAACACUUCCAUACAUCACCCAGUGCUCAUCCGGACAGGUGCACUCCUUAACCCCCAUCACCUGUGUAACCCAUCCCCCCACCCACCUGCCCUCUAAUAACCAUCAGAUUGUUCUCUACAGUUAAGAAUCUGUUUCUUGGUUUGUCUUCUUUUUAAAAAAAACUUUUUUUAAUGUUUAUUUAUUUUUGAGAGAAGAGAGAGACAGAGCGUGAGUGCAGGAAGGGCGGAGAAAGAGGGAGACACAGAAUCCCAAACAGGCUCCAGGCUCUGAGCUGUCAGCACAGAGCCCGAUGCGGGACUGGAACUCANNNNNNNNNNNNNNNNNNNNNNNNNNNNNNNCCUUGCUGCAUUCAAAAAAAAAUUUUUUUUAAUGUUUAUUUAUUUUUGAGAGAAGAGAGAGACAGAGCGUGAGUGCAGGAAGGGCGGAGAAAGAGGGAGACACAGAAUCCCAAACAGGCUCCAGGCUCUGAGCUGUCAGCACAGAGCCCGAUGCAGGGCUCAAACUCAUGAACUGUGAGAUCAUGACCUGAGCUGAAGUCAGGCGCUUAACCGACUGAGCCACCCAGGCGCCCCUCUCUUUCUUCUUUUACUCGUUUGUUUCCUAAAUUCCACGAGUGAAAUCAUAAAUUUGUCUUUCUCUGACUGACUUAUUUUGCUUAGCAUUAUACUUUCUAGUUCCAUCCAUGUUGUUGCAAAUGGCGACAUUUCAAUUUCAUCCUUUCAUGAUGAAAGGAUUUCAUCCUUUUUAUGGCGAAAUAAUAUUCCAUUGUAUAUUUAUACCACAUCUUCUUUAUCCGCUCAUCUAUCAGUGGACAUUUGGGACAUUUCUCUCUUCUUCCGGGCCUCUAAUCACCAUAUGUUAGGCCACUUGAGAUUGUCCUACAACUCCCCGAUGCUCUUGUAAUUUUUUUCUAGACUCUUUCUUCUGUUUCAUUUUGGGUAAUUUCUAUUCUAAUGCCUUCAUGUUCAUUUACCUUUUCUUCUGCAAUAUCUGAUCUGCCAUUAAUCUUAUCCACUGUAUAUUGUAUUUUGGACAUUGGAGCCUUCAUGUCUAAAAAUUCAAUCUGGGGCUUUUUUUUUUAUAUCUUCCUUGUCUGCCCUUAACUUUUUGAGCAUAAAGAAUACAGUUAUAACUGUUCUAUUUUUAUUUUUUAACUUUUACUGCUUACUUAUUUUUGAGAGAGACAGAGUGCAAGCAGGGGAGGGGUAGAGAGAGAGAGAGGGAGACACAGAAUCCGAAGCAGGCUCCAGGCUCUGAGCUGUCAGCACAGACCCCAGUGUGGGGCUUGAACUCACAAACCAUGAGAUCAUGACCUGAGCCGAAGUCGGAUGCUUAACUGAGUCACCCAGGCACCCCCAGUUAUAACUGUUUUAAUGUCCUCCUCAGGUCUAACAUCUGUCAGUUCCAGAUCAGUUUCAGUUGAUUAUAGAUUGUGUUUUCCUGCCUCUUUGCACGUCUAAGUAUUUAUGAAUCCAUUUUUAUUUAUUCAUUUAUUUAAGUUUAUUUAUUUUGAGAGGGGCAGAGGCAGUGGGGGAGGGGCAGAGAGAGAGGAGAGAGAGAAUCCCAAGUGGGGCUUGAACCCACAAAACCAUGAGAUCAUGACCUGAGCCAAAACCAAGAGUCAGACUCUUAACCGGCUGAGCCACUCAGGCGCCCCUUUAUGGAUCCAUUAAAAAAAUAUAUUUAUUUUUGAGAGGGAGAGAGAAAGAGAGAGAGAGAGAGAGAGAGAGAGAGAGAGUGUGGGGGAGGGGCAGAGAGAGUUGGGGGGGCAGAGAAACUGAAGCAGGCUCUGUGCUGACAGCAGGGAGCCCGCCAUGGGGCUUGAAGUCACGAACCUUGAGAUCACAACCUGAGCUGAAGUCGGAUGCCUAACAGACUGAGCCACCCACGUGCCCCUGAAUCCAUUUUUUUAAAUGGAUGCCACACAGUAUGAAUGUUACCUCACUGGGGGCUGGGUAGUUUUGCAUUCCUAUAAGUCUUCUUGAGUUUUGUUCUGGAAUGAGUUUAUAUUACUUGCCAACGUUUUGAUCUUUCCAAACGUUGCUUUUAUGAUUUGUUAGGUGGGUCCAGAGUAGGGGGACACAAGGAUGAGCAAGGCAUUAGUGGAAGUGGAUACAUAAGCCUAGGCACUCCCCGUAGCAACACGGUAAGGGAACACUCAAAACUUGAUCAGGGUGGCACAGUGCAGCCUCAGCUCUGCCCUCUCUCUCCCCUUCCUGAGGUAGCAGCAGCGUGAAGAGAGCAGAGAGGGCUGCAGUAUUCCCUGGCUGGGCUCGGGGGUACCCAAGGGAUCUAAAGCCUUAUCACUAGAACAAAUCGGGCUUCACAUCAUUUGUAAAUUGGGGCCACCCGCACCUGCCCUGCCUAGCUCAGAAUGGUGUUUGUCCUGGCGGUAAGGGAAACGUGCUGAGUUUCUGACACUGAAAUCCCGACAUACUGGCUUAGCCAGUUGACCGCUAAGCCCACUCCUAGAGGGCCCUCGAGAUAUGUGGUCAGAAGCUGUGGGGAUGAGGACAAAAGCUGGGUGUGUGAGCAGCCAAAGGGGUCUGAGUUCUAAAACUAAUUAUUUGCUCCUAACCUUGCAAGAUGAGGCAAGCCCAGGGCAUCUGGGUGGCUCAGUCGGUUUAAGCAUAUAUUAAAAAAUACAUAUAUAGGAGGCAGGUCCUGCCUGGGGAGGUGGUUUCCUCCGUCUGCCCUCACCUCUGAUAGAAGCCUGGGAUGGGUGGUCUCCUUACUCUCCAGACUCAAAAGCCUGAGAAACACCAGGGAAUCCACCUGGAGCCUCCAGACCUGGGCAUUUCUGUCAUUCCUUUCCUUUUAUCUCUGAUUUCCCACCAGUCAGAUGAUGGUGUCUGAAGGCAAGAGGCCAGAGUUCUCAACUGCCCUCUGGUUCUCCGUUGGGUCAUCUCUGCAUCAGACCCGCCCUUAUCCCACCUCCUUCGGAAGGGCCUGAGGAAACUGGCCAGACCAGACCUCCGUGCCACUGGCUGUCCCUGGCAAGAAUAAGCCGAUCCAACUUAUUCCUAUAUCUCCAGUAGCACCCAAGGACCCUGGAGGGCCUCAGCCUCGUUCAGCUCCCACAACUUUUGUGUUCUUGGGUGGCUUCCAUCACCUGCCAGUCUCAAGUUUUC
rnacentral:lncRNA from 1 species